rnacentral:rRNA from 1 species
UCCUACGGGAGGCAGCAGUGGGGAAUCUUAGACAAUGGGGGCAACCCUGAUCUAGCCAUGCCGCGUGAGUGAUGAAGGCCUUAGGGUCGUAAAGCUCUUUCGCCUGUGAUGAUAAUGACAGUAGCAGGUAAAGAAACCCCGGCUAACUCCGUGCCAGCAGCCGCGGUAAUACGUAGGGGGCGAGCGGUGUCCGGAUUUAUUGGGCGUAAAGAGCUCGUAGGCGGUUCAACAAGUCGGUCGUGAAAGUUCAGGGCUCAACCCUGAAAUGUCGAUCGAUACUGUUGUGACUAGGAUACGGUAGAGGUGAGUGGAAUUCCGAGUGUAGCGGUGAAAUGCGUAGAUAUUCGGAGGAACACCAAUUGCGAAGGCAGCUCACUGGGCCGCUAUCGACGCUGAGGAGCGAAAGCUAGGGGAGCAAACAGGAUUAGAUACCCUGGUAGCCCUAGCUGUAAACGAUGGAUACUAGACGUAGGAACUGGAUUGACGGUUUCUGUGUCGCAGCUAACGCGUUAAGUAUCCCGCCUGGGGAGUACGGUCGCAAGACUAAAACUCAAAGGAAUUGACGGA